rnacentral:rRNA from 1 species
UUAAGCGACUAAGUGUACACGGUGGAUGCCCUGGCAGUCAGAGGCGAUGAAGGACGUGCUAAUCUGCGAUAAGCGUCGGUAAGGUGAUAUGAACCGUUAUAACCGGCGAUUUCCGAAUGGGGAAACCCAGUGUGAUUCGUCACACUAUCAUUAACUGAAUCCAUAGGUUAAUGAGGCGAACCGGGGGAACUGAAACAUCUAAGUACCCCGAGGAAAAGAAAUCAACCGAGAUUCCCCCAGUAGCGGCGAGCGAACGGGGAGCAGCCCAGAGCCUGAAUCAGUGUGUGUGUUAGUGGAAGCGUCUGGAAAGGCGCGCGAUACAGGGUGACAGCCCCGUACACAAAAAUGCACAUAUUGUGAGCUCGAUGAGUAGGGCGGGACACGUGGUAUCCUGUCUGAAUAUGGGGGGACCAUCCUCCAAGGCUAAAUACUCCUGACUGACCGAUAGUGAACCAGUACCGUGAGGGAAAGGCGAAAAGAACCCCGGCGAGGGGAGUGAAAAAGAACCUGAAACCGUGUACGUACAAGCAGUGGGAGCACGCUUAGGCGUGUGACUGCGUACCUUUUGUAUAAUGGGUCAGCGACUUAUAUUCUGUAGCAAGGUUAACCGAAUAGGGGAGCCGAAGGGAAACCGAGUCUUAACUGGGCGUUAAGUUGCAGGGUAUAGACCCGAAACCCGGUGAUCUAGCCAUGGGCAGGUUGAAGGUUGGGUAACACUAACUGGAGGACCGAACCGACUAAUGUUGAAAAAUUAGCGGAUGACUUGUGGCUGGGGGUGAAAGGCCAAUCAAACCGGGAGAUAGCUGGUUCUCCCCGAAAGCUAUUUAGGUAGCGCCUCGUGAAUUCAUCUCCGGGGGUAGAGCACUGUUUCGGCAAGGGGGUCAUCCCGACUUACCAACCCGAUGCAAACUGCGAAUACCGGAGAAUGUUAUCACGGGAGACACACGGCGGGUGCUAACGUCCGUCGUGAAGAGGGAAACAACCCAGACCGCCAGCUAAGGUCCCAAAGUCAUGGUUAAGUGGGAAACGAUGUGGGAAGGCCCAGACAGCCAGGAUGUUGGCUUAGAAGCAGCCAUCAUUUAAAGAAAGCGUAAUAGCUCACUGGUCGAGUCGGCCUGCGCGGAAGAUGUAACGGGGCUAAACCAUGCACCGAAGCUGCGGCAGCGACGCUUAUGCGUUGUUGGGUAGGGGAGCGUUCUGUAAGCCUGCGAAGGUGUGCUGUGAGGCAUGCUGGAGGUAUCAGAAGUGCGAAUGCUGACAUAAGUAACGAUAAAGCGGGUGAAAAGCCCGCUCGCCGGAAGACCAAGGGUUCCUGUCCAACGUUAAUCGGGGCAGGGUGAGUCGACCCCUAAGGCGAGGCCGAAAGGCGUAGUCGAUGGGAAACAGGUUAAUAUUCCUGUACUUGGUGUUACUGCGAAGGGGGGACGGAGAAGGCUAUGUUGGCCGGGCGACGGUUGUCCCGGUUUAAGCGUGUAGGCUGGUUUUCCAGGCAAAUCCGGAAAAUCAAGGCUGAGGCGUGAUGACGAGGCACUACGGUGCUGAAGCAACAAAUGCCCUGCUUCCAGGAAAAGCCUCUAAGCAUCAGGUAACAUCAAAUCGUACCCCAAACCGACACAGGUGGUCAGGUAGAGAAUACCAAGGCGCUUGAGAGAACUCGGGUGAAGGAACUAGGCAAAAUGGUGCCGUAACUUCGGGAGAAGGCACGCUGAUAUGUAGGUGAAGUCCCUUGCGGAUGGAGCUGAAAUCAGUCGAAGAUACCAGCUGGCUGCAACUGUUUAUUAAAAACACAGCACUGUGCAAACACGAAAGUGGACGUAUACGGUGUGACGCCUGCCCGGUGCCGGAAGGUUAAUUGAUGGGGUCAGCGCAAGCGAAGCUCUUGAUCGAAGCCCCGGUAAACGGCGGCCGUAACUAUAACGGUCCUAAGGUAGCGAAAUUCCUUGUCGGGUAAGUUCCGACCUGCACGAAUGGCGUAAUGAUGGCCAGGCUGUCUCCACCCGAGACUCAGUGAAAUUGAACUCGCUGUGAAGAUGCAGUGUACCCGCGGCAAGACGGAAAGACCCCGUGAACCUUUACUAUAGCUUGACACUGAACAUUGAGCCUUGAUGUGUAGGAUAGGUGGGAGGCUUUGAAGUGUGGACGCCAGUCUGCAUGGAGCCGGCCUUGAAAUACCACCCUUUAAUGUUUGAUGUUCUAACGUGGACCCGUGAUCCGGGUUGCGGACAGUGUCUGGUGGGUAGUUUGACUGGGGCGGUCUCCUCCUAAAGAGUAACGGAGGAGCACGAAGGUUGGCUAAUCCUGGUCGGACAUCAGGAGGUUAGUGCAAUGGCAUAAGCCAGCUUGACUGCGAGCGUGACGGCGCGAGCAGGUGCGAAAGCAGGUCAUAGUGAUCCGGUGGUUCUGAAUGGAAGGGCCAUCGCUCAACGGAUAAAAGGUACUCCGGGGAUAACAGGCUGAUACCGCCCAAGAGUUCAUAUCGACGGCGGUGUUUGGCACCUCGAUGUCGGCUCAUCACAUCCUGGGGCUGAAGUAGGUCCCAAGGGUAUGGCUGUUCGCCAUUUAAAGUGGUACGCGAGCUGGGUUUAGAACGUCGUGAGACAGUUCGGUCCCUAUCUGCCGUGGGCGCUGGAGAACUGAGGGGGGCUGCUCCUAGUACGAGAGGACCGGAGUGGACGCAUCACUGGUGUUCGGGUUGUCAUGCCAAUGGCACUGCCCGGUAGCUAAAUGCGGAAGAGAUAAGUGCUGAAAGCAUCUAAGCACGAAACUUGCCCCGAGAUGAGUUCUCCCUGACCCUUUAAGGGUCCUGAAGGAACGUUGAAGACGACGACGUUGAUAGGCCGGGUGUGUAAGCGCAGCGAUGCGUUGAGCUAACCGGUACUAAUGAACCGUGAGGCUUAACCUU